rnacentral:rRNA from 1 species
AUUGAACGCUGGCGGAAUGCUUUACACAUGCAAGUCGAGCGGCAGCGCGGGGGCAACCCUGGCGGCGAGCGGCGAACGGGUGAGUAACAUAUCGGAACGUACCCAGUCGUGGGGGAUAACUAUCCGAAAGGAUAGCUAAUACCGCAUACGUCCUGAGGGAGAAAGCGGGGGAUCGCAAGACCUCGCGCGAUUGGAGCGGCCGAUAUCGGAUUAGCUAGUUGGUGGGGUAAAGGCUCACCAAGGCGACGAUCCGUAGCGGGUCUGAGAGGACGACCCGCCACACUGGAACUGAGACACGGUCCAGACUCCUACGGGAGGCAGCAGUGGGGAAUUUUGGACAAUGGGGGCAACCCUGAUCCAGCCAUUCCGCGUGAGUGAAGAAGGCCUCGGUUGUAAGACUCUUUCUAGUCAGGAACGAAACGGUA